AGUCCAUUGGCAUGUCAUUCGGAGAAGUUGAAGCCUUAGACGCAAAUAUUGGCCGCAAUAGUGAGAUCCGAAACAGUAUCCGAUCAACAGAUGCCGAUCCCGCUCAGACACACAGCAUACCCAAACAAUUACAGGGCAGGCUAUAUUUUUUUCUACAUAGUGGCAGCAGCUGUCCGAGUAAAUGCAAUCAUUGUCGGGAACAGGAAGGUCCCUGAUUUCUGUGCAGACUCGUAGAGAAAACCAUAUCUGAAUUUCAACCUGAUAACACAUUGGUGCUUGCCAUAGCAGCUGAUGAUGUGGUUAAUCACCAAAUCAUGUACAGCAUCAUUGCCAGCACCUCCAGAACAUUCUUCUCCAACGUUAACCCCACCAACGGUGAGAUCAGGGUCAAAGGAGAUCUUUUCCAGACCGGUGUCUCCGUGUUUGAGAUAACCAUUCAUGCCAGAGACAACCCCGGCUCCAAUGCAGUUUCCCGGUUCGACAUGGCCAUUGUGACGAUCACAGUGACGAGGCCAGUGUUCACAUCUGCCACCUACAACGCCACCAUCUCAG